GACGAACGCUGGCGGCGUGCCUAAUACAUGCAAGUCGAACGCAGGGGGGACGGGUGCGUAACACGUGGGUAACCUCCCAUCAGAGGGGAUAACACUUGGAAACAGGUGCUAAACCGCUACUGAUGGAUGGACCCGGGGUGGAUUAGCUAGUUGGUGGGGUAACGGCUCACCAAGGCCACGAUGCAUAGCUGACCUGAGAGGGUGAUCGGCCACACUGGGACUGAGACACGGCCCAGACUCCUACGGGAGGCAGCAGUAGGGAAUCUUUGGCAAUGGACGAAAGUCUGACCGAGCAACGCCGCGUGAGUGAAGAAGGUCUUCGGAUCGUAAAACACUUUUGUUAGGGAAGCGUUACCUAACCAGAAAGCCACGGCUAACUACGUGCCAGCAGCCGCGGUAAUAC
rnacentral:rRNA from 1 species